GCAAUGAUGAUCUGAAAUCUUAAAGAUAAAAAUGAUUUGAUGUAUUAUCCUCUAAGAAGAUCUGAGCAG